UAAGGAAUAUUGGUCAAUGGACGCAAGUCUGAACCAGCCAUGCCGCGUGGAGGAUGAAGGUCCUCUGGAUUGUAAACUUCUUUUAUCUGGGACGAAACACUUCUUUUCUAAGAGGCCUGACGGUACCAGAUGAAUAAGCACCGGCUAACUCCGUGCCAGCAGCCGCGGUAAUACGGAGGGUGCAAGCGUUAUCCGGAUUCACUGGGUUUAAAGGGUGCGUAGGUGGGUAUGUAAGUCAGAGGUGAAAUCCCCGAGCUUAACUUGGGAACUGCCUUUGAUACUAUAUAUCUUGAAUGCCGUAGAGGUAAGCGGAAUAUGUCAUGUAGCGGUGAAAUGCUUAGAUAUGACAUGGAACACCAAUUGCGAAGGCAGCUUACUAUGCGGUUAUUGACACUGAGGCACGAAAGCGUUGGUAGCAAACA
rnacentral:rRNA from 1 species